rnacentral:rRNA from 1 species
GGGGAAUCAGGGUUCGAUUCCGGAGAGGGAGCCUGAGAAAUGGCUACCACAUCCAAGGAUGGCAGCAGGCGCGCAAAUUACCCACUCCCAGCUUGGGGAGGUAGUGACGAAAAAUAACAAUGCGGGACUCUAAGAGGCCCCGUAAUUGGAAUGAGUACACCUUAAAUCGUUUAACGAGUAUCAAUUGGAGGGCAAGUCUGGUGCCAGCAGCCGCGGUAAUUCCAGCUCCAAUAGCGUAUAUUAAAGUUGCUGCAGUUAAAAAGCUCGUAGUUGGAUCUGGGGCUUGAGGUCGCUGUCUAUCGUUUCGGCGAUGACGGUGAUGCUCAGCUCUGCUUGCCGGUGACUGUUGUGGUGUUCUUCACUGAGCGCUGUAGCAGCACGGCACGUUUACUUUGAAAAAAUUAGAGUGCUCAAAGCGUGCUUGUCGCUUGAAUAAUGUUGCAUGGAAUAAUGGAAUAGGACCUCGGUUCUAUUUUGUUGGUUUUCGGAGCUUGAGGUAAUGAUUAAGAGGGACGAACGGGGGCAUUCGUAUUGCGGUGUUAGAGGUGAAAUUCUUGGAUCGCCGCAAGACGGACUACUGCGAAAGCAUUUGCCAAGAACGCUUUCAUUAAUUAAGAACGAAAGUCAGAGGUUCGAAGACGAUCAGACACCGUCCUAGUUCUGACCAUAAACGAUGCCGACCAGCGAUCCGUAGUGGUUGCUUUAUGGACCCUACGGGCAGCCUCCGGGAAACCAAAGUAUUUGGGUUCCGGGGGAAGUAUGGUUGCAAAGCUGAAACUUAAAGGAAUUGACGGAAGGGCACACCAGGAGUGGAGCCUGCGGCUUAAUUUGACCCAACACGGGAAAACUCACCCGGUCCGGACACCGUAAGGAUUGACAGACUGAUAGCUCUUUCUUGAUUCGGUGGAUGGUGGUGCAUGGCCGUUCUUAGUUGGUGGAGUGAUUUGUCUGGUUAAUUCCGAUAACGAACGAGACUCUAGCCUGCUAAGUAGUGUUGCUAUUGUUAUAUGGUUGACACUUCUUAGAGGGACAAGUGGCAUUUAGCCACGCGAAAUUGAGCAAUAACAGGUCUGUGAUGCCCUUAGAUGUCCGGGGCCGCACGCGCGCUACACUGGAGAAGUCAGCGUGUGUUAUCCAAGUCCGAAAGGACUGGGUAAUCCGUUGAACCUUCUUCGUGCUUGGGACUGUGGCUUGGAACUAUUCCACAUGAACGAGGAAUUCCUAGUAAUUGCAAGUCAUAAGCUUGCGUUGAUUACGUCCCUGCCCUUUGUACACACCGCCCGUCGCUACUACCGAUUGAAUGGUUUAGCAAGGUCCUCGGAUCGUGGCCGUAGGGGCACGCAAGUGUUUCUGCGGUUUGCGAGAAGACGACCAAACUUGAUCAUUUAGAGGAAGUAAAAGUCGUAACAAGGUU